CCUACGGGAGGCAGCAGUGAGGAAUAUUGGGCAAUGGGCGAGAGCCUGAACCAGCCAAGUCGCGUGAAGGAUGAAGGAUCUAUGGGUUGUAAACUGCUUUUAUAGGGGAAUAAAGUGAGGAACGUGUGCCUUGUUGUAUGUACCAUAUGAAUAAGCAUCGGCUAACUCCGUGCCAGCAGCCGCGGUAAUACGGAGGAUGCGAGCGUUAUCCGGAUUUAUUGGGUUUAAAGGGUGCGUAGGUGGUUAAUUAAGUCAGCGGUGAAAGUUUGUGGCUCAACCCUAAAAUUGCCGUUGAAACUGGUUGCCUUUAGUCUCUUUGAGGUAGGCGUCAUGCGUGGUGUAGCGG
rnacentral:rRNA from 1 species